rnacentral:rRNA from 1 species
AUGGCAGGUGAAGAAAACGAGUAUGAUGUUGAAGGAAAUGGGCAUCUCAAUCAGCCCGUCAUGCGGUUUCACUUCAACGCAUUACGUGAUCAUCUACGCUGAGAGUUCAGAAAUAGCCUUGACCCAAUUGAAGAGAAGCAAGACAAGUUGUCGAGAGAUUUGCAGCAACUUAUGGGUAAUGUUGAUGAGCAACUCACUCAGAACAUGGCAGCCAUGAAGACUGGUAUUGUUGCUGAUAUUGUGCGAGAGCUUCGUCAGAACCGAGAAGAUGCAAGUGUCCUUGGUGAAGAACAAAAUGUAACUGAUGGGGAAGGUGCUGCCUCCAAUGCACAAGCUAGAAGAAACCGUGCUCCUGCUCCCCAUGCCAUGAGACCUCCCGGUCCCGGACGUGGAAAUGGUCAUGGUAAUGGACGUGGUCAUCAUGAAGUUGUUGCUGGUCGUGGUCUUAGAGGAGGCCACCGAAGAGCAAAUCUGCACCAUGAAGGUAGUGGAGAUGAGUUUGAUGAAGAUGAAGAAGGCAUGCACCAGAAUGAAAGAUUUCAUCAUCGUAGAAACUAUGGUCGUGGACAGCAGGAGGAGGAGAGGUUU